rnacentral:lncRNA from 1 species
GGUUACCAAGAAGCAGAUGGGCUGUGAAGGAGACAAAUCCUUCUGUCUAAACACAAAUAGCAUUGAUAAUUAAUUAGCUGAAGCAGCAGGGGAAAUUAUGAAAAUGUGUGAAAGCACAGCUGUGAGGCACGUAAAGCCUUCCUACUCCAGAUUUGGUCUACUCACCAGCAGCAUCUCCAUCGCCUAAGAGUUUUAUUAGAAAUGCGCAACGUCAAGCCCUACUCCAGACACACCGAAUUAGAACCUGCAUUUUAACAAGAUCCCCAGUGACUCAUAUACAAACAAAAGACUGAGAAGCACAGGCCUAGAAAAUGUCUCCUCCCACUGACAAAGGGCAAAGAAAGGAGUUGUCUCAGAACUUGGAGUAAAAAAUACUCUCCUGUGGUGACAGAGAGAAAAAGUGUGGAGGGCAAAGAGGGGAGCCUGUGUAUAUGUGUGUGUAUGUGUGAGAGAGAUAGAGAGAUGAAAUGAGGUAACAAGAUUCACCUGCCAACCAGCUCUGCCUAAAACUUUUCAGCACACUCUGGAUCUCAGCUGCUAGUACUUACUCUUAUUUGACUACUAGGCAUAUUUAGUUUCUAUAUCCUGCCUGAGAUGUUCCCAAAAUGUCAUAAGCGGCAGGAAGAUAACCUGAAUUUUUGUCCUUUAUCCAAGCACUAGGUCUGACAGAGGUAGUCUUCCUGACAUUGCCCUCACUGGCCCAGAGUAAGAAAGCUCACUAAAUGUUCUCACGAUUAUUUGAAGCAUGAUUUCAGCCAUGCUAUUCUACCAAAAGCAGCGCGGAUCUCUCUCUUGAUCAUUUGGCAUUCUUCAUAUCACAUCAUUACACAUAAAAUUGUUGAUUCUCGGGUUAGAAGGAACCAUUUUUAAAAGUACAAUUUCUUACCUGAUACUGGAAUCCCUGCCAUAAUAUAGCUAGUCAUUGCCAAGCUACACUUGGAAAAAAUAGAUGAAAGAAAACUCAAAAUUCAUGCUCAUAUGCUAUUGAGCAUUUAGUGACAUUGCAGCUACCUUAUUUGAGAAGGCAGCAUUCCACUGAUAACAUAUAUCACCCUCUAAGUAUGGCAUGCUCCUCUUAAAAACAGUUAAGCUUCAGAGCAGUAGUGCAGGAAGGAAAAAAGUCCCUUCAUAAAUAAAUCCUUUUGCCUAAAUGAAAGAAUAUACAGUACUCAUUAAAAUGGUGAUUAGAGCCCAGCAUGAGAAAGAUACCCUCAUAAUAACACUAAUAAUAUCAGCAAUAAAAAUACCCUCUGAGAUUUGCUAUUC